AAUGAACGUUGGCGGCGUGGAUUAGGCAUGCAAGUCGAGCGAGAACCCAGCAAUGGGGGACAGCGGCGCAAGGGACAGUAAUGUGUAGAUCAUCUGCCCUCAGGCCCGGGAUAGCUGCGGGAAACUGCAGGUAAUACCGGAUAACAUCUCCGGAUCAAAGGUGUGAUUCCGCCUGAGGAUGAGUCUACAUCCUAUUACCUAGUUGGCAGGGUAACGGCCUACCAAGGCGAUGAUGGGUAGCGGGUGUGAGAGCACGACCCGCGUCAUGGGACUGAGACACUGCCCAGACACCUACGGGUGGCUGCAGUCGAGAAUCUUCGGCAAUGGGCGCAAGCCUGACCGAGCGACGCCGCGUGCGGGAUGAAGGCCUACGGGUUGUAAACCGCUGUCAGAGGGGAUGAAAUACAGGUGGGUUCUCCCAUCUGUUUGACAUAGCCUCAGAGGAAGGACGGGCUAAGUUCGUGCCAGCCGCCGCAGUAAGAC
rnacentral:rRNA from 1 species